rnacentral:rRNA from 1 species
UGCCUACGGGACGCAGCAGUGGGGAAUAUUGGGCAAUGGGCGCAAGCCUGACCCAGCAACGCCGCGUGAAGGAUGAAGGUUUUCGGAUUGUAAACUUCUGUCGCGAGGGACGAAGAAUGACGGUACCUCGUAAGAAAGCCCCGGCUAACUACGUGCCAGCAGCCGCGGUAAUACGUAGGGGGCAAGCGUUAUCCGGAUUUACUGGGUGUAAAGGGAGCGUAGGCGGUUUAGCAAGUCAGAAGUGAAAGCCCGGGGCUCAACUCCGGGACUGCUUUUGAAACUGUUGAACUAGAUUGCAGGAGAGG